UGGGUUUAAGGGUCCGUAGGCGGUUUAGUAAGUCAGUGGUGAAAGCCCAUCGCUCAACGGUGGAACGGCCAUUGAUACUGCUAAACUUGAAUUAUUAGGAAGUAACUAGAAUAUGUAGUGUAGCGGUGAAAUGCUUAGAGAUUACAUGGAAUACCAAUUGCGAAGGCAGGUUACUACUAAUUGAUUGACGCUGAUGGACGAAAGCGUGGGUAGCGAACAGGAUUAGAUACCCUGGUAGUCCACGCCGUAAACGAUGGAUACUAGCUGUUGGAAGCAAUUUCAGUGGCUAAGCGAAAGUGAUAAGUAUCCCACCUGGGGAGUACGUUCGCAAGAAUGAAACUCAAAGGAAUUGACGGGGGCCCGCACAAGCGGUGGAGCAUGUGGUUUAAUUCGAUGAUACGCGAGGAACCUUACCAAGGCUUAAAUGUAGAUUGACCGUUUUGGAAACAGAACUUUCGCAAGACAAUUUACAAGGUGCUGCAUGGUUGUCGUCAGCUCGUGCCGUGAGGUGUCAGGUUAAGUCCUAUAACGAGCGCAACCCCUGUUGUUAGUUGCCAGCGAGUCAUGUCGGGAACUCUAACAAGACUGCCAGUGCAAACUGUGAGGAAGGUGGGGAUGACGUCAAAUCAUCACGGCCCUUACGCCUU
rnacentral:rRNA from 1 species